rnacentral:tRNA from 1 species
GGGGUUGUAGCUCAGCGGAAGAGCACUUGCCUAGCGUGAAUGAGGCACUCGGUUCAAUUCUCAGCACCA